UAAAGCCAACGUUUAUUCAAAAAAUAAAUACAAUGUCACUCCUUGGAGUAUUGCUCAAAGCAAAAAAAAUUCAAAAAUCAUUGGAUUACUCAAAAAAACACCUCGUAUUUCAGAAAUGGUUUGUGAAACGUACGGUAAAUUGCCAACACCGCAUAUAUUUGGG